GGGGUCUCAGCCAAUCUGACCCUGGGACGGCUCGCUUCAGCUCACUUCAGAAGGGAUAUAGUCAUGAACAUGAAGUUAAGAGUUUGCUCAAGACUCCUUUAAUCAAAAUAUGGAUGAUGGCUAGCCAGCUGACAGAAUCAGGUAAAGAGGAACCCAGGAAACCUCCGCCGUAUUUGUGUACACCUGCUGUGAAUGAGGAGGGCGCUGCAUCCGCUAUGACCCUCGUGUCCCGGCUCAGAAAAGUAUGCCACGAAAGAAACACUGAAUUUUAUCUCAUUUGAUUUCCUGGCAUAAUGUGAUAUAUCAAUAUGUUGUUAACAAAUGCUCAUGGAUUUUUGAUGUUUUAAGGUUAUUCAGAAUAA